CCCCUCUGCGCGCCCAACCGACGCGCCUCCCCGCCAACCCCCAUCCAGAUCCAAAUGGGACCUCCACUGCUGCUCCACGUGCGCUCUCCUCUGAUCCUGCCCUCUCCACCGUUCCCACCGCCGGCGUGGUCUCCUCCUUCCCCACCACCGGUUUGCCCACCAUCCCCUGCCGCCGUCCACCUGGAGUGAAGAGCCGCCUGGAGUGCAGAGCAGCCACCACCGGUUCCCCGCUGCACCUGCCGUCGCCGUUCGCAGCAAAGCCCCGCCUCACGUAGAAGAGUCCUCAAACCCUUGUAGUACUGACCAGAACAGCCUUCGUUCGACCCUCGUUCCCCCGCCCCCACCAAAUCGCCUCCUCCCUAAAAUCUCGUAUCCCUCAAAUCAUCUCCUCCAUCCCCAAAUCCGGUGGCCAGCACCUCGUUCUGCUCCGUGAAAGUGCGACUCCAAAUCCCUUCUGUGUGUUACUCCAAGCCGGUCCCCAUGGAGUGUUUAAUCGAUCUGAUUUUCAUUUUUCCUCCCUCCUCCGAAAUCUCAUUUUUCUUUGUCUCGAUUGAUUAGCAGAUCUGGUUGUGGUCGCUGCGCGCAAAAGCAGGGGAAAUCCUUGUUUCUUCUUGAGAUGGUUUUGCUUCAUAUAGUUGGGGCCGUGUGUACAUCUGGAACCAAAUGAGAACAAGAAAGGAGAAGCAGAGGAAGGCAGUUUCUAAUGAAACAUUGAGCUACUGGAAGAAUUACACAGGAUUGUAGGGUUUUCUUCUAAACAGACUUGUGGGAUUUGUUCAAGCGACUUGGGCUUCUAGAUGAGUCCCCAACAUUUUUCUUUGUUCUUGUACAGAAUAUGCAUGUAUUCAAGAAUCUCUGUGUUCGUAAUAAUAAUAUUAGCUUGUUUAUUAAUAUCUUUUCA